GAUGAAGAACGCAGCGAAAUGCGAUAAGUAGUGUGAAUUGCAGAAUUCAGUGAAUCAUCGAAUCUUUGAACGCACAUUGCGGCCAUAGGUAUUCCUUUGGCCAUGCCUGUUCGAGCGUCAUUUACACCCUCAAGCCUAGCUUGGUGUUGGGCGUCUGUCCCGCCGUUCUCGCGCGCGGACUCGCCUCAAAGUCAUUGGCGGCGGUCGUGCCGGCCCCCUCGCGCAGCACAUUUGCGCUUCUCGGAGGCCCGGCGGAUCCGCGCUCCAGCAAGACCUUUCACGACUUGACCUCGGAUCAGGUAGGGAUACCCGCUGAACUUAAGCAUAUCAAUAGGCGGAGGA
rnacentral:misc_RNA from 1 species